UAUAUACAAUUUUGAAAAGAAGAAGGAAAAAAAAAGAAGUUACACCGUUCUCAAUAAAGUGUUACGUAGAAACAUAUGUUUAAAUCGCGAUUUGAAAAGCGCGCUCCUGGCAUGACUUGGUACGUUCUAUUGGUUCUAGUCACGUGAUACUAUUCAUCAUGGCGACCAUUAGAUGCCGGUGGUACGAUCAAAAAACAAAAAAUUAAAAUUACCCUGCCGGGGAGUCUGUCGUUGGAUGAAGUUGCAUCGUUAGCUCGCCGAGCUUCCCAAAGGCAACUCCAGCCGCGGUGAAAAUCUCACCGACCUACAAGUACAUCAAAAAAGACAUUCGAUGAAAUAAAAAAAACUCGAUAUUUUAUAUUUAUUUUAUUCCUUCAAAGAAACACUAAAGCUCCAUUGCUCUUGGCAUAGCGAAAAGAAAUAGAAGUAAGAAAGAGAGUGAGUGAGAGCGAGCGGAAUGCACGUGACUGAAGAGCGGUAGAAAAAGGAAGAACGAGAGCGGUGGGGAGAGAACGGCUGCUAAGCACUAUGUGGCGGGAAAGUGCCUAAAAUCAUCGACUAUGAGCCCCUUUUCUUUCGCUUACCUUGCUCGCUGAGUUCAUCUCACAAAGAGUUUGUUGUUGCACGCAUACGCCUGACGCUUAGUGGAAAGGAAAUAGCUCGUACGGUGGAUCCACAUAGAGAUGGAGAAACAAAAGACAACGUCGAAGUGGGUUCUUCCAAGUUUCCUGAGAUACCUCGAGAUGGUCGGGUCGCACUCGGAAGAAAGAAAUUCACCGUACUCGAAGGUAAUUCGAUCUGGACGAGGAUUACUUUGCUGCGAUCUCUCGAUGAGGAUCGGAUCGAGAUCUAUACCCAGCAGAAAGAUGUCAGGCUCUGAAGAAGAUAAAGGGGUAAAAGUUGAUAAAUGGAACUCAUCUGUCGGUUUACUUAUGAACGAUUCGUUCCAUCCUUUCCGACAGCUGCCCGCUCUUACCCCUGCGUUACAGCCAAUGUCUAACCCCACAUAUUUCCGGUCCGAACGAACAGACUGCCAGACGUCUCGCGGAAGUUGCCGUACGCGUUCUUCCGCACUAUGAAAUUGGUAGUAAUUCAUAAAGUUCCCAUAUCUGCUCGCACCCGGAUCCGCCUUUAUUUUCAUAUUCUCCGUCUUCUCUUUUUCUUUCGGAUCUUCCGACAUAUUUCGAGAAAUCUUAUAGAAUUCUCACGAAUUGCUAUCUAAAUGGAAAAUAUGUAUCUUUAAAUAUUCUAUUUUAUUUGAACCGUUGCAUCAAAGCUAUUAUAACUAAUCGAUAAGAUGUUUAUGUUUUAAAACGGUCGAUAAGUAUGCAAUCUUUAACGCAAUUACGAAGUAUUGUGAAACUUUGAAGAGAAAAAUUGAUGUUAAUCGUUAACGAUUUGUUACGACUCUCGUGACACGCAUGGACCACGUGCUUACGUAUGCAGUGUAUCUUCGGGAGCGAAAUUUCGCCGUACUAGAAGUAAUAUUACUUAUAUCUAUUCGACAAAGAUACAAUGAAUGACGGCUGCGCUACGUUUACAGUUGGCUGGCUAAGUGUGCGUAUCGUAUUAGUUAUAUCUAUAUAGUAGUAAUACUCACCACGUUGCUCAAUUAUUCUUUCAACCAACGGAAGACUGUGCUGCCCUACCAAACGAAACACUACUACAAAUCCUUUCUCGCACAGCUGUUCUCGAUACAAGAGUUUGAAUUAUUUGUAUUUGAAUUAUUCAAAUUACAGAUUAUUACAAAGUUGCGAACGAUCGUAGUACUUUUCGAUCUUUACUCAAUUUUAAACACGCUCUUAUAACUUUCCGAUUGUACAACUUUUUAUCAUCAUUUUAGUCGAAGAAAUGUCCGAUAUUCUUCAUUCAUAUUCCUCCGUAUUCGAAAAGAAUGUCAUUUUUUAAAGUUGUAGGCAAAAUGAGUCACAUGGCAGGGAGGUCUUGGCAAGAUUAACCGAGAAGUAGAGACGGUGCUGUCAUCUCAUGGAAACCACGAGAAAUUGUUCCUAUUAUCAAAGAGAAACGUUCAAUAAUAUUAUUACAUAUGUAUUAUGAAAUGUAGCUAUUUAAGUGAACGUAUAUUUGUUUAGAUAGAUUUUUUUAUUAAUUUAUAUUGGAUUUAUUCAGCCCUAACACAUAGAGAUAUGAUUUAUUUGACAAAGGAAAGAAAGAAGGAAGAAGUCAUUUGGAUAAAGAUAAAAGAUCGAAGGAUAGGAUCCAAGGAAGCAAGACUCAAACGAAGAGACGUCCGCGACCCAGAUAAACGUUAGCCUUCGCGAACGUGGCUCGAUCGCGAGCGAAUCCGAGGAGAAUCGUGUUGAGAUACGAUGCAUUUGCGUUUCGCGAGAGAACUUUAGUCAUUCUUUAUCUUUGCCUUGUAAUCUCCUUCGAUCUAUCGAUAGAUUCGUCUCUGAUGUUUUUUACACUUAUAUGUAAGCAGCAGCAUAAUUUCUAUGGAUCGGUCAACAAUGCCUAUCGAUCUCUCGAAUUACACGAAUUAACUUAGCGAUAUCAGAUAGCACCGAUAUGACCCUGACUUCCUGUCAGAGAAAAGAAGAAAGAAGAAGAAAAACUGACGAAGAAAAGUAUACCCGCGAAGGUCUCUAAAUGACACACCUACAAUUAUGUAAAGCCCCCUACGCACUGCGUGUCGCAAUAAUUCGCAAACAAUACGACGAUAGAUUUGAGUACGUUCCUCCUCUGUUUGCGAAACUCGACACGGUGUCGGUGCGAUUCUCGUUGAGAAGAGAAAAGAAAGAUUACACAUUCAAUUCGAUAUAGGAAAAGGAUCGAGAUUCUUAGGGACUCGUAUAAGUAUUUUGUUUCAAUGGAUAAUUACGAAAAUGGGAAGAUAGUUGUCCCUGGAAAUAGGCAAGCGUGUCUAGGUUUCGAAAGGUCAGGUAGAAAAAGGUAGAAAAUAGGCAGGAAGGCCUUUUGGGUAGGGUCUGUGGAAUGGUAGACGCAAGCCGGCAGGCCGGCCGGCAGGCAGGCGGGUAAAGGCAGGCGGGCAAAAGCAGGCGGGCAAAAGCAGGCGGGCAAAGGCAGGUGCAACUCGGCUAUCUCUCGCGUUUGGAGAGCACAACUUGCGCAUUCUCUUGGACUCUUCUCGCUGCAAUUUCCUUUCUUUUUCUUUCAUCUCGUUGUUCGCUCAAGAGCAGAUGCGUCCGUGAACGAAGGCAUGUGCGAAGCCACGUACUCCGAGAUAACGAUGGGAGGAAGAUCGGCCGUGCUCCUACAAUACCAACAAGUACAGAGAAAAAGAUCCGAGUCGAGCCGAGCCGAGCCGAGUCGAUCCGCCGAACAUACAAAUAUUGAAUUUUGUUCGGGUUCUCUCCUUCUUUUUUCAAAGAAUCUCUCUUGCCAAAUAGCUUUUAAAGCACGCGAGCUCGCGUAUUGCCAAACGCACGAGCAAACCGGUUCCCCGCUGCUCUUUUGAAAUAUUUCCGAAGGAAAAAGGAUAAGAUUUUGUUUCUGACGCAUCGAUCGGAUUAACCACGCUCGACUCGAACCGAAAAUCUUACCGAAACUUUACAAAUUGCUAAUAUUCGAGCGGUCAUUUAUGUUAUGGCACUCAUGCUACUUUAAAGAUUCUAUUUUGUAAAGUAAAGUCAGAUCCGUAUCAGAAUGAAUCUUUGUAAAUUGUUACGCUAGAUUACUAAUCCCUCGCGUAUUCUGGGAAUACACGUUGUCCGUGAGAUAUCGAGCGAUAGGAGACGAGGAAAGUCCAACCUAUUGACCCCAAUUUUCGCUGCGCUCGAUGUCGAAUAAAAGAGAAGAUAAAAGAAAAGGAUUGCGACACACGCACAAGUUUGCAAUAAUUGUACUAAAAAAAAAAAAAGAAAAAAUCAUGAAAAACGUCGAGUCUGUAAUUGCAUCGUAUGGAGCAACGCGUUGUAAAGUAGUCUCUUGUGUUAGUCGACGUUGCUGCAAUUCUAGAACUCCUCUCGUUAGAUUCCUUAAAAGAAAAAAAAAAAAGAACAAACAAAUUAUUCAGAUUCGAAAAAUACUUGAUUAGAAAAUGUGGGAAAAUGUCGAAAUAAAGGGUAACACAUCGAUGAUCGUCGGAAGGCCUCUAUGAUGCAUAACUUCGUGAGUGGACGAUUAGUCAGCAUGAGUUGACAUCAUCCUCGAUUCUCGCAUCUACUAUAUAUAUGCAGUAUCUAUGUAUGCACAUCGAAUAAAGGGUUGUUGAAUGGCUUUUCGGGUACGCGUUGUUGGAUUAUUUGUAACGUUGCCGCGGACGAUAAAAUCGAAACUUGUAUCUAGAAGAUUGAAAUUCUGAGACUAAAAGACGGAAGGAUAAAUAUUUGAUUAUUUGUAUAACCCCGCCCCGAGUAGGUCGACGGCACGAGGACAGCUGGAAGAUCCUUUCUUCGAGAAGUAAGAUUGAAGACGUCGAUACUCGUGGUUACAAUAAUAGAGGCAUGGAAAAUCCGCUUUUUCCGGAACGGGGCUUCACCGUCCCCCUGUCAUUGGGUACGGACGAGGAUCUUCCUUUGCCGACAAACGGACAACUGAAAACGACCUCACGAGCGACAACAAGAGAAACACAAAGAAAAUUUCCGUCUUUCGUGGCUCGGCUAGGCUACAUGCUGGGAGCAACCCUAACCACUAUAUGCGACGAAGAGAGCCCAUGUAUUGCUCCUCCUCGAUUUGUUUCCUUCACUCAUACCAACGCACCAACUGCCAGGCACGUGGAUUCUAUUCGACCCUUUUUCUCCGCUUUGCGAG